ensembl:lncRNA
AGGCAGCUAACAAGGAGGCUGAAGAUGAAGAAGAGCUGUCCUCAUGGGUGUGAAGUGGCCCUGAUUUGCAUCUCCCUAAUGACUGAGACACUGAUUUAUGCAGGAUUUUUCCAGAGGCCCAUUUACUCAAGCAGAGCCAACUGUUGAGACACAGCACCUGUCACUGAAGGGUGGGGGUCUGUUGGCCCGGGUGGCCUGGGCUGGCCGGCAUUUCCCGCCCCCAGGCAGGGGCCUGUCCUGAGCAGGCUUGCCUCUGGCGGACUCAUGCUCUCAAGCUCCCGCUGCACCUACCUACCGUCAAUCAUCACGUGGUAAGAACUGACUCAGUCACGCCUGCAGCGAAGAUGAGGCCCUGUGCUCCAGGAGCUGACCGAUGCCCGGACAAGCAGAAAUAGACACACGGGCAGGUGCAGACCUCCCCUGGUGCUUCUGGAAGCCUGGGCGAGGUGAGCACACUGCAAGACUGUCCACCAGCCUGUGAGACCGGCCGGCCACACAGGGGCACCACCUGAACUGAAUCCAGAAGGAAGCCCCAGGAGGGACGCUGACGCUGGGGGUGGGACGGGCCUCCCCAGGGCAGGAAAGCCAGGGUCCUGGGUGUAGCAGCAGGCAGAAAGAUGGGCCCAGCUGCCUCGGGCUCUGGAUGCCAGGCUGGUGCCUCCUCUGGAGGCGCGGGAAGGCUGUAGGAAGCCCCGGUGGCCACGCGUUGGGAGGGUGUGGGGCCGCUGCCCUGUGUCUGCUCCGGUCUCAGCGGGUGUGUGGCAGCUCCCCGCCCCCGCCUGCUGUUCUGUGGGGACUGCGGUCUGUGUCACACCCUGGUCACUGGUCCCGCCACACACGUGGCAGUGACACUGUGCUCACCCAGGACACAGGCGUCAUUUCUCAGACUCUUGAGGCUGAAGCGUGUAGGAGCAGGAAGCAAGGCUGUUUCUCCCAAGCGCUGCACCCAGCUCGUGGCACCCACCCUCAUCCAGGUGAGGGGACGGGAGGACGCAGAUGAACAGGGUUACUGACGCUGGAGUAAAUUCUAUUUUUCUUUGGCUCACUGGGCCCCAGCUGCAGUCUGUGGGAUCUCUGAUCUUCAUUGUGGCGUGCAGGACCUUUAGUUGCAGCAUGUGGGAUCUAGUUCCCUGACCAGGGAUCUAACCCAGGCCCCCUGAACUGGGAGCGUGGAGUUGUCAUUACUGGAGCACCAAGGAAGUCCCGGAAUACAUUUCAGAAAGAGCUGUCGGAUAACGAAUGAUUUAAGCAAAAUGAUCUUUCACCAUCGAGCACCAUGCGUGGCCUGUGGAACGACUGCAGGGCCUCCCCGGGGUCAUGUAGGGGUGAGCAUCCCGGGCCAUGAGCUGUGGGGAUGCCAACCCUCUCCCCAGGCCCCCGACCACCAUCUAGCCUGGUCUGCAGAGCACAGGCCUAUCCAUAGUCUCUCCUCCAGCACUGGGAACUCUUGCAAAACCAAUGAUUUAACUGCCCGUAAGUUUAAAAAAGACAAAAAACCAAAACACCAGUGAAUUUACCAGAACUCUGGCCCAGUGUGACUGGUGAUCAAAGUGAAAAAGCCCUAAGAUGGAUUUUUAAAAAGAGAUGAUAAUUCAGUUCUUUAUACAGCUUGACACGAGGAAACAGAUAUCCUUAACAGUGCAAGGUCCCCAAAUGCCUCCAUCUCUGGGUUUCUUGAAGAACAUUUGCCCAACCAUGAUUCUUUCGGUAAGUCACUUUGGUAACCUGGGGAACCCCAGGGCAUGAGCGAGAACUCCAGCAGGAGAUGUGGAUUCCUCUGAACUGGCCUCUCCAAUCUGCUGGAUUUGUUUGAGGCAGGGCUGUAGGAGCAGGGAAGGAGAGGUGAGACUGGUUUCCCCAUUUCCCAAGUUCUUCAGCAAAGGAAAAGGAAAACAUUAUUUUACUAUGUAUCAAUAGCAUUUUACUACACACACUUUAUGAACUUGUAGCAAACCUGACUUUCCAAGAUUAAACAUUUUUAAGUGGAUGGAAGUGAAAUGACCCUGGAACAGACUGUACCAGCCGUGAAAGGAUCUUGUUAAAGCUGCAGUUAACGCCUUGUUGGACUUCUUAUAUGGAAAAAGUUCUGCUUGACUUGAUCAUCCCAGCAAAAGAUCCCAUGGCAACCGGAAUUUUUUUCCCACAGCAGUUCAAGAAAGAAAGAAGGGUGGGGUAACAGAGCAGCCCAGGCUUGUCCCCUGAAGACACGUGACACAUCAUGGUGGUCACCGCCACCUGGGAGUUUGGCCUCUGAGAGAAUUUUGCUAAGCUUCAGAGUCCAGCAAGUCGGUUCAAUCUGUUUCUGGUGCCUCUGCCACCAGAUGUCCUGAGAGCAGACUUGGGACUCUGCUGAGACUGGCCUGGCUGCGGCCACACCGUAGGGAAGGCUUGCUCCCUCCUGGAACCGUGACAUCUUCCUGUGAGUCCCCAGGAAUGGAACAAGGGCAGAGGAAAAUAUGCAUGGAACACUGAGACUGGCAAAUAUGAAGGGACGCGUUCCUUUCAAAGACGACAUUCAAAGUGUUAGCUACUGCAAAUAGUCUGAAUAGCACAGAGUCUUCCCACAAAUCUCGUACUGCAGACUUCUCCCGCAUGUGCACCACCCAGCUUAGUCUGAGUGCCAGAGGUCAGACAGGCAGGCCUCUGGGGCUUUCAGGGCUUAGAGAGAAGGGCAGGUAAAGCAGGGCAUCUCGUGAAGUUACCCAAGAUCCUGCUCCCUGAGGCUGGCAUUGGGCAACACAGACACAGCAGCUGAAAAGCACACCAGGACCCGACGUCCCGGGCUGCAGGGAGAGACACGGCCAGGAGGUCAGUGCUCAGCACCUGAGUAACGCUGGCCCUGGCUCCUCCCAGAGGCAGCAUGCAGGCGGUCUGUCCGAGGGAAGGGAAGAGGGGAGAUGUGAGCUUCUCCUCCUGCCAGGGGUACCCUGGAGCCAUCUCCACGUAGUGUGCCUGAAAACCACACAGCUGAUGCGUGCGAUUCUAAGCAGCAGUGGCAUGGGGACACAGCACCACCCCAGCUGGCUCCAGGGCCGUUGGGGUACCCAGAGGCCCAGCAGCCCCACCCCUGGCAGAUCAGACAUCACCAACUGUCCUGGGUUGGCAGGCACAGGCACCACGGGCAGAAAUGUUACUGUGGCUUAAGAGUGCGAAAAGACCCUAAGAAGCCAAAGUCCCAGAGGUCAGUGUCCCACAGGCACCAAAAGCUGCUGCGGGGCCCGCUGGGCAGGCACCCAAGACAGCACCACGGGCCAUGGGCCAAGCUGGGUGAGCUCCUUAACAAGAUGGGGUGGGGUUGGGGGCAGGAUGCCUCUGAGGGAGGGCCACCGGACAGAAAGGUAUGAUCCAGAAUGUGGGAGUGUCACUUUUGAACUGCUUGACUCCUGAUGAGCAGAGACCUGUGUGUGAGGUCAGAACCGACAGGGAGCUUUAUCCCUUUCACUCUGUCCAGCAAGCAGUCUUUGCCCUGCAUUACCCAUGUUUCAUUUCUUCUACCUCCAUCUGCACUAUUGGGCGGGCUGCCUGGACAGCUAUGGGGUGUGACCUAGGGGGUUGGGCAGGAGCUGGCAGGGAGCAGUGUGCCCUAGGGCAUGUGGACUGCCGGCUACUGCUCUCCUGACCCACCUAGCAGAGGGGAGUUCUGUGGUCUGUGGGGGAGUUCCCGUGAUACUUUGACAAUGGGUUCCAGUUAGAAGUAUGUGACUGGGGUCCCUCUCCCAGGAUGCUUGUCCUGACAGGCCUGGUCAGAAAUGCCAACCCCCCCACCCUCUGCUCCAUGCACCAGACACAGCGGCCUAGCAGCUGGGUCACCCUCCUGUCUAAUGGGCAGGGUUCCUAAUGACCAGUGGGAAGUGUGGCCCCAAUUCCUUUCUGGACAGACUGAUCUCAUAAUCAGAGACAAUGCUAUCAACUAAGAGAAACCAACCAGACCGUGCACAUGGCAGACGGGGCAGUCCAGAGGCCUGAGGAAGCUGUCAGUUAAACUUGAGCGUGUCAGGCAGGCAGCAGAGGACUAUUUGAUUCCAGCUGUUCCGAAGUCUAAGGCCAGAGUAAACCCACUCACCUCUUUUCCCUGUUCUUACUCUAAGGUGUGCCACCUCUGACUCCUGGCCUGCCAAGGGUUAGGAGAACCGUCCCGGAGACCCAGGGGCCUGGGAGCACGGGAAUACCCCCAAAUCCCGCCAAUACCUCAGAGGGCCACAGGUGCAGUGUCAGGGCCUCAGGCUGCUGCCUGAGGUCUCCCUCCCGGCCCCAGAACAUAAGGCUCCCUGCACACUGGCUCGCAGGCGUGUCACCACACAGGAGCACCAAGCCCCCAGGCGGGCUGGGCUGCAGCCAGGGUCCUCCAGGCAGCACACGACCUUGCUUUUCUUUUAAAUCUUCCAGAUCUAGCUGCAAGGGCUCCCGAAGCUUCUUUGCCCCAUCUGGACCUGGAAACGGGCUGAUUUUUUAAAACCAAGAUUCUUGGCAUAUUUGGACACAAUGAAUACUGUGCCUUUCAUAUUUUCUUUGUAUUUCUCCAUAGUUGCUUGACCCAAC